ensembl:Mt_tRNA
CACUGUAUAGCUAUCUUAGCAUUAACCUUUUAAGUUAAAGACGGGGGACACACCCCCUACAGUGA